rnacentral:lncRNA from 1 species
CUUAAUUAAUUUUAGUGCGUAGCUUAAGAAAUUAGCUACCUCGUGCUUAACUCCAGUAAUGCCCAUCGUCUGGCAUAACCUUAAAUAUGUUAUCGUGAUGCUCCAUUUUAAAUUUCAUGGCAAUCGGAGUUGUAGAACUCCGUUUAUAGCGAUUUCCGUCGGAAAAUCACAAAAAUUAUUAUGGUCAUAACUUGGUCGUUUUAACUCGGAAUUAGCUCAUUUUUGGACACGAGCUACAUAUUAUCAUAUAUUUUAAUUUCCCAAAAGCCUGUAAUUUUUCUCAUUAACUAAAUGUCCAAAACAGCCCUCGGAAAAUUUUGGCCAGAAACUUUUUGCACUAUGGCAGUUUUGGAGUCCUUCACCAAAACUUAAAUAAAACGAAAUCUGUAACUCCAAUUAAUGAUCCGUCAAAUUUGUUAGAUUCGUAUCUUUCCG